rnacentral:misc_RNA from 1 species
UACGGAGACCCCUAGCGUUGUUCGGAAUCACUGGGCUUAAAGCGCGUGUAGGCGGAGCGGUAAGUGCUUUGUGAAAUCCCCGGCCUCAAUCCGGGAAUCGCUUGGCAUACUGUCGCUCUUGAGGCAGGUAGGGGUCGCUGGAACGUUAGGUGGAGCGGUGAAAUGCGUAGAUAUCUAACGGAACGCCUGUGGCGAAAGCGGGUGACUGGGCCUGUCCUGACGCUGAGACGCGAAAGCGUAGGGAGCAAACGGG